AAGUGGAGCAGUGGUCUCUUCAC
rnacentral:miRNA from 1 species